GGUGUCCUGAGGGUGGCAGAGGAAAAAACACAGAGCACAUUGCAGACAACAACAAACAGGGGAAUGACAGAAAACAUGUGGAUGGGCUAUCGGGGAAACCAAAAAACGGGUCAGAAAAGGAUCCUUACAUAGGGUUACAUCUAUCAGGCUCUAUCCCCAAUCUUUUCAGCUAAUACUGUUAGUGGUGUAGAACCGAUCAGUGGAGCUGUGUGAAGUACCUUCCUGCUUCAAACGCUUCACCAUCAUCCACAUCUUCAAGAAAUCCUCCAUUUCAGGAAUAAAUGACUACAGGCCCAUCACCCUGAAGUAUGUGGUCAUGAAAUUCUUUGAGAAGAUGGUGUUGAUUACGCUGAAGGUCAUCACAGAACCCCAGGUGGACCCCUUGUAGUUUGCCUACAGGGCGGCAGAUCAGUGGAUGAUGAAGCCAACAUGGGACUGCACCACAUGCUGCAUCACCUCGACUCGCCAGGGACAUGUGCAGGGGUUCUGUUUGUGGACGGGUUCUUUUUGUGGUGCUCCCAAUUACUUGAAACCAAACUCUCCCCCCACUGCUCAUCUAGCUCUACACUAACAACUCCACCUCAGAAGACCGAACUGUUAAACUCCUAAAGUUCACAGACUACAACAAUCAUCGGCCUCAUUAGGGACUGCGAUGAGUCUACAGAUGGGAAGUUGGUAUAUACACAUACUUGGUAUAUUUAUAUUGUUUAGUGGUUAAAUGUUCAGUUUUACAUCUAUUUCAACUUUUUCCUGUUUUCCUUGUUUUGUAUUACAUACGCCGAUAAAGCACUAAACUUGAAUAGACUACAUGGAUUUAGUUGAAUUCCAACAUUUUUCAUGGAUCCAAAUAAUUUUGCUGUGUCUAGUCAGCAUUUGUAAACCAAAUUGAUGCAUUUUACUUAAAAACAUAAGAAGGUUUUGUGACAGUUUUUUUAAAUAUACAUUGUUGUUUUUAAAAACUGGUGAUGUUCUGUCUCAUCUCAGUCAUACACCUGGACAAGUGCUAUGGGACGUGUCCUAGCUGGUCCACAUGCUAAAUCUUUAUCUGACUCCAAAUAAUCUGAUAUUUAUGUGAGAGGAUAAGGAUAAAGAUGUUAAUUUUCAUUCUAAAAAAAUACAAAGAAAUUAAGUCAGCGACUCAUCAGCUGGUACAUGAGUAAGAGGUACAUUAGGUUAUUAAUUAAGUAAAAUACAUAUAUAAUACAUAAAACAUAAAACACAGGCAUCAAUGGCUUGAAAGUGAAAAGGGGCUUUGUUAAGGUGAUGUGUUAUUGUUUAUUUUUGUCCCCCCGCAGCACCGUCAGGUGUGAGCUGGUGGUGAUAGAGGAA
ensembl:lncRNA